UCUAAUGAAUGAGCAAAGAAAGUGGUUUCUUGAGAUGAAAUCUACUCCUGAUGUAGACACUGUGAA
rnacentral:pre_miRNA from 1 species